rnacentral:rRNA from 1 species
UACGAAGGGGGCUAGCGUUGCUCGGAAUCACUGGGCGUAAAGCGCACGUAGGCGGCUUCUUAAGUCAGGGGUGAAAGCCUGGAGCUCAAUUCCAGAACUGCCUUUGAUACUGAGGAGCUUGAGUCCGGGAGAGGUGAGUGGAACUGCGAGUGUAGAGGUGAAAUUCGUAGAUAUUCGCAAGAACACCAGUGGCGAAGGCGGCUCACUGGCCCGGUACUGACGCUGAGGUGCGAAAGCGUGGGGAGCGAACAGG